GGUGCUCUUGUGGUUAGAGCUUCCAUUUCAAAUGUGGAAGGUCAUGGGUUCAAACCCCAGCUGAGUCA